rnacentral:rRNA from 1 species
CAUAAAGUUGUUCUCAGUUCGGAUUGUAGUCUGCAACUCGACUACAUGAAGCUGGAAUCGCUAGUAAUCGUAGAUCAGCAUGCUACGGUGAAUACGUUCCCGGGUCUUGUACACACCGCCCGUCACACCACGAGAGUUUGUAACACCCGAAGCCGGUGGAGUAACCAUUUAUGGAGCUAGCCGUCGAAGGUGGGACAAAUGAUUGGGGUGAAGUCGUAACAAGGUAGCCGUAUCGGAAGGUGCGGCUGGAUCACCUCCUUUCUAAGGA